ACCAGACUCCUACGGGAGGCAGCAGUGGGGGAUAUUGCACAAUGGGGGAAACCCUGAUGCAGCGACGCCGCGUGAGUGAAGAAGUAUUUCGGUAUGUAAAGCUCUAUCAGCAGGGAAGAAGAAAGACGGUACCUGAGUAAGAAGCCCCGGCUAACUACGUGCCAGCAGCCGCGGUAAUACGUAGGGGGCAAGCGUUAUCCGGAUUUACUGGGUGUAAAGGGAGCGUAGACGGUAUGGCAAGUCUGAAGUGAAAGCCCCGGGCUCAACCUGGGAACUGCUUUGGAAACUGUUAAACUAGAGUGCUGGAGAGGCAGGCGGAAUUCCUAGUGUAGCGGUGAAAUGCGUAGAUAUUAGGAGGAACACCAGUGGCGAAGGCGGCCUGUUGGACAGUAACUGACGUUGAGGCUCGAAAGCGUGGGGAGCAAACAGGAUUAGAUACCCUGGUA
rnacentral:rRNA from 1 species